GAUGAACGCUGACAGAAUGCUUAACACAUGCAAGUCCACUUGAACUUCGGUUUGGGUGGCGGACGGGUGAGUAACGCGUACAGAACUUGCCUCACAGCUAGGGACAACAUUUGGAAACGAAUGCUAAUACCUGAUAUUAUGAUUUUAGGGCAUCCUAGAAUUAUGAAAGCUAUAUGCGCUGUGAGAGAGCUUUGCGUCCCAUUAGCUAGUUGGAGAGGUAACGGCUCACCAAGGCGAUGAUGGGUAGCCGGCCUGAGAGGGUGAACGGCCACAAGGGGACUGAGACACGGCCCUUACUCCUACGGGAGGCAGCAGUGGGGAAUAUUGGACAAUGGACCAAGAGUCUGAUCAAGCAAUUCUGUGUGCACGAUGAAGUUUUUCGGAAUGUAAAGUGCUUUCAGUUGGGAAGAAAAAAAUGACGUUACCAACAGAAGAAGUGACGGCUAAAUACGUG
rnacentral:rRNA from 1 species